GGGGAAUUGUUCGCAAUGGGCGCAAGCCUGACGACGCAACGCCGCGUGGAGGAUGAAGAUCUUCGGGUGGUAAACUCCUUUCGAUCGAGACGAACGGCCUCCGGGUGAACAAUCCGGGGGAGUGACGGUACCGCGAGAAGAAGCCCCGGCUAACUCCGUGCCAGCAGCCGCGGUAAUACGAAGGUGGCAAGCGUUACUCGGAAUUACUAGGCGUAAAGGGCAGGUAGGCGGUUUGGUAAGUCUGUUGUGAAAGCUCCUUGCUUAACGGGGAGAGGCCAACAGAUACUACCAGGCUUGAGUAUAGGAGAGGGUACUGGAAUUCCCGGUGUAGCGGUGAAAUGCGCAGAGAUCGGGAGGAACACCAAUGGCGAAAGCAGGUACCUGGACUAUUACUGACGCUCAGCUGCGAAAGCUAGGGGAGCAAA
rnacentral:rRNA from 1 species